rnacentral:rRNA from 1 species
AGAGUUUGAUUAUGGCUCAGGACGAACGCUGGCGGCGUGCUUAACACAUGCAAGUCGAACGGACGGACUCGAUAGCUUGCUAUUGGGAAAGUUAGUGGCAAACGGGUGAGUAACGCGUAGGCAACCUGCCCUUCAGAUGGGGACAACACUUCGAAAGAGGUGCUAAUACCGAAUGACGUAUCCAUUCCGCAUGGAGAGGAUACCAAAGGCCGGGCAACCGGUCACUGAAGGAUGGGCCUGCGUCUGAUUAGCUGGUUGGUGGGGUAACGGCUCACCAAGGCGACGAUCAGUAGCCGGUCUGAGAGGAUGAACGGCCACAUUGGGACUGAGACACGGCCCAA